rnacentral:rRNA from 1 species
UACGAAGGGGCUAGCGUUGUUCGGAAUUACUGGGCGUAAAGCGCGCGUAGGCGGUGAUCUUUGUCAGAGGUGAAAGCCUGGGGCUCAACUCCAGAAUUGCCUUUGAAACGGGAUCGCUUGAGUCCGAGAGAGGAUGGCGGAAUUCCUAGUGUAGAGGUGAAAUUCGUAGAUAUUAGGAAGAACACCGGUGGCGAAGGCGGCCAUCUGGCUCGGUACUGACGCUCAGGCGCGAAGCGUGGGAGCAACAGG